rnacentral:rRNA from 1 species
GAUGAACGCUAGCUACAGGCUUAACACAUGCAAGUCGAGGGGCAGCACUAGGUAGCAAUACUGAGGUGGCGACCGGCGCACGGGUGCGUAACGCGUAUCCAACCUUCCCGUUACUCUUGGAUAGCCUUCCGAAAGGGAGAUUAAUACAAGAUGGUAUUCAAAUUCCGCAUGUUAUUUGAAUUAAAGAUUUAUCGGUAACGGAUGGGGAUGCGUGACAUUAGAUAGUAGGCGGGGUAACGGCCCACCUAGUCUACGAUGUCUAGGGGUUCUGAGAGGAAGGUCCCCCACACUGGAACUGAGACACGGUCCAGACUCCUACGGGAGGCAGCAGUGAGGAAUAUUGGUCAAUGGUCGGAAGACUGAACCAGCCAAGUAGCGUGAAGGAUGAAGGUUCUAUGGAUUGUAAACUUCUUUUAUACGGGAAUAAAACCUCCCACGUGUGGGAGCUCGUAUGUACCGUAUGAAUAAGCAUCGGCUAACUCCGUGCCAGCCGCCGCGGUAAGAC